rnacentral:rRNA from 1 species
GAUGAACGCUGGCGGCGUGCCUAAUACAUGCAAGUCGAGCGAACAGACGAGGAGCUUGCUCCUCUGACGUUAGCGGCGGACGGGUGAGUAACACGUGGAUAACCUACCUAUAAGACUGGGAUAACUUCGGGAAACCGGAGCUAAUACCGGAUAAUAUAUUGAACCGCAUGGUUCAAUAGUGAAAGACGGUUUUGCUGUCACUUAUAGAUGGAUCCGCGCCGCAUUAGCUAGUUGGUAAGGUAACGGCUUACCAAGGCGACGAUGUUUAGCCGACCUGAGAGGGUGAUCGGCCACACUGGAACUGAGACACGGUCCAGACUCCUACGGGAGGCAGCAGUAGGGAAUCUUCCGCAAUGGGCGAAAGCCUGACGGAGCAACGCCGCGUGAGUGAUGAAGGUCUUCGGAUCGUAAAACUCUGUUAUUAGGGAAGAACAAAUGUGUAAGUAACUAUGCACGUCUUGACGGUACCUAAUCAGAAAGCCACGGCUAACUACGUG